GGGGCUCUUUCCCUCCCCAAUCGCUCUGUCUCCAAGGCAACGGGGCGGACCAAUGGGAGAAGGCGGUGGGCGGGGCUAAAGGGAAAGCAGGAAGGGAAGUGGGCGGGGCAGGCGAGGCAAGGAGUUUUUAAAAAAAGGAGAGGCGGGGCUCUUUCCCUCCCCAAUCGCUCUGUCUCCAAGGCAACGGGGCGGACCAAUGGGAGAAGGCGGUGGGCGGGGCUAAAGGGAAAGCAGGAAGGGAAGUGGGCGGGGCAGGCGAGGCAAGGCAGGCUUCACCUCCAGGCCUUCUCCAUUCUGGAUUACCUCAGGCAUGGUGCCAAUUUGGGCCUUCCCUCCAGGUGUUUUGGACUCCAACUCCCACCAUUCCUAACAGCCGGUUCCAAACCUGCAAAUAUAUAUAUUUACCUUCCUUGCCUAGUCUCUCCAUGCCUCACAACCUCUGAGGAUGCCUGCCAUAGAUGUGGGUGAAACGUCAGGAGAGAAUACUUCUGGAACAUGGCCACACAGCCCGAAAGACUUAAAACAACCCUAUUUAUUUACUACAUUUAUAUCCCGCCCUUCUCACCCCGGAGGGGACUCAGAGCGGCUUACAGGUAAUAUAUACAUACAAAAUAUUAUUAGCAUAGCACAAUAUUUGCAUUAUAUAUUACUAUAUUGUACUAUACCACCAUACUGUAAUAUUAUUAGUGAUAUUAGAUGUAAUAUAUAAUAUAUAAUUAAUAUUAUUAUGGUGUUUUAUUAUUAGUAUUAUAUAGUACUAGCUGUGCCCGGCCACGCAUUGCUGUGGCGUUGUCUGGUGGUGUUGGUGAGAAAUUGUUGAGGUAGUGGUGGUAUUGAAUGUCUGUUGUAUGGUUGUCUUUAUGUUUAGUAUGCACACUGAAGUGGAUUAUAUGGCAGUGUGGAGUCAAGAUAAUCCAGUUCAAAGCAGAUAAUCUAAGAUUAUAAAUGGGUUAUAUAGCUGUGUAGAAGGGCCUUGAGUCUACACUGCCAUAUAAUCCAGUUAAAAUCUGAUAAUCUGUGGAAGAGGCCUAAGUGAGGCUUAACUGUGCCUGUCCCCUGGGCUGAGGAGGUUGCUAGGAGACCAAGUGGGCAGAGCUUAGCCUUCAAACUGGCAGCAAUUGGAUAAAAACUAUUAUUCCUCUCCCUGUAAUUAGGACUUUAUUUUUUCUUUUCUUUUUGUUGUAUCAACCUAGAGCCGUGAAUGAUGGGUUGUGUUGUCAAAUUUUGAGGUUGGCGGGCCUGUAGUUUUGUUGUUUUGUCCGCUGCCCUGAUGCCAUCACUCUUUUAUAUAUAUAGAAGAUUACAUCAUAAUAUUAUUAUCAAUAUAUGUAUAUACAUUAUGUCCAUUGAUCAUAUAAUAUGUUGUAAACCUGUUUGGGUUCCCUAGGGGAGGAAGGCGGUAUAUAAAUGAUGUAAAUAAAUAAAUAAAUAUUAAUUAUUAUUUAUUAUUGUAUAUUGUAUUGUAUAUUAUAUACAAUAUGUAUAUAUACAUAUAAAAUAACUAGCUUGGGGACCUGGCAGUGCCCGGGUUUAUAGAUGAAGGCAUUGUUUAUUUUGGGAUGUUAGGUGAUAUCACCGAAGUUUGGUCCAGAUCCGUCAUCGGCUGGGUUCAGGGCUCUCUGGAUAAGGAUGAACUACAAUUCCCAGAUUCCCAGGGAAAUCAUCCCCAAACCCUGACAGUACUCCCAGUUGGCCAUGUUGGGUCUGUGUGCCAUGUUUGGUCCAGAUCUGACAUCAGCUGGGUUCUGUGCUUUCUGGAUGCAGGUGAACAGUUCCAUCUUGUCUCCUAUGCCAUUAGUUGGGGGCCCCUCCCCCACUAACAUGCUAU